rnacentral:lncRNA from 1 species
UAAGUCUCGUGGCCUUAAUACGUCGUUUUAUUGUAGAAUCAACCGCUAAUUCUCUGAAAUUGGGUGUAAAAGUUGAUGAGGUAGGGCUUGAAGGGUGUAAAAAAAAUUCCUCUGCCUUCUCUCUAGGAAGAAGGGUGUAUUGAGUCCAUAUCGCUGUGGGAUCUAUGCACUAUUCAUCGGAAUAGUGAAUUCGGCACUAUUCACAUCGCCGGAAUUCAUUGGUGGAUUGUUACAAUUUUGGCGUCACAGGAUCCCCUUCCUUUUGCGAACAAUCCUUAAUUGAGUUUUUCAUCAAAUCUAUAAUCAAUUCCCCUACAUCUUAAAUCUUACUGUAGCUUCAUCAAUUUCUGAAUUUCCAGUUAUAUUCCAUACUAUUCACAUCGCCAGAAUUCAUUAGUGGAUUGUUACAAUUUUGGCGUCACAAGAUCCCCUUCCUUUUGCGAACAAUCCUUAAUUGAGAUUUUCAUCAAAUCUAUAAUCAAUUCCCCUACAUCUUAAAUCUUAUCUUCGAUUUACUGUAGCUUCAUCAAUUUCUGAAUUUCCAGUUAUAUUCCAUCCCGAUCAUAGAAGGAAUGUUUCUGCUUGAGUUCUGAGUUGUGAAAUGGAAGUGACAACCUCUCCCCAGCCUUGUGCUGUGGAAGAGGUUUUACAAAAUAUAUCGGAAAAUCAAACUGGUUACGGAUCCAAACAGUCAUAUGCUUCGCUUCUUGCUGGACAACAAACUAACGAGACAAAUACAAAGCUGGAUCUGUGCCCAGUUUCUUUCGAUCAUGGAUUGCCGAUUGUUGAGUUCACAAGACAAAUACAAAGCUGGAGCUGUGCCCAGUUUCUUUCGAUCAAGGAUUGCCGGUUGUUGAGUUCACAGUGGAUGAAGUGAAUUCAUUCACAAGGGAGGAAGGUCUUCAACAAGCAGUGAUAAUCAAAUUUGCAUAUGGAAAGCCAGAACUUCAGGAGCUGAGGCAGAUUUUGCCGAAGCAACUCGGUGUCAAAGGUAGAUGCAACGUCGGACAACUAGAAUAUCGUCAUAUUCUGGUAAGAUUUGAUUUGUUUGAAGAUUAUGCUCAGGUGGUGUCAAGAACUACGGGCUAUGUUAAGGCUAAAGGAGAUGAGUUCUUCUUUAGGACUUUCCCAUGGACAAUGGGAUUUAAUCCGCGAGAAGAAACUUCAAAAGCUGUGGUUUGGAUCUCUUUUCCCGAUCUGCCAGCAAAUCUCUUCGCCAAAAAAGUUAAUCCGCGAGAAUAAACUUCAAAAGCUGUGGUUUGGAUCUCCUUUCCCGAUCUGUCAGCAAAUCUGUUCGCCAAAAAAUCGUUAUUGUCCAUCACAUAGGCAGUGGGAAAGCCUAUUGCAGUAGAUAAAGCUACUAAAGAUCGAAUGCGACCUAGUAUGGCAAGAGUUAAAGUCUUGAUCAAUUUACUGGACAAACAUCCAUCGCAAAUUAAGAUCAAAUUCCCCAGCCUUGUGCUGUGGGAGAGGUUUUACAAAAUAUAUUGGAAAAUCAAACUGGUUACGGAUCCAAACAGUCAUAUGCUUCGCUUCUUGCUGGACAGCAAACUAACGUGACAAAUACAAAGCUGGAUCUGUGCCCAGUUUCUUUCGAU